UCUGUGCGGAAGGAUUAAAAAAACUACACCAGACUGGUGGCCAUGACAGAUGUCAGUGGGAAAUUUAAACAUGGACUAGAUACUUUGAUGUGUAGCAAAAAAAGUUCAUCGUUGAUGGUGGUGUUUUUCUGUGAUAUAUUGAACUGGGAUAGUAUUACUCUUCAGAAAUACAGAGCUGUCAAUGCUGCAAUUUUGUUGUGAAAUUCACAAUCCAUGUCCAAAAGUGCUUGUUUUACUAUACAGCAAAGAAGGAGAAAUUGUACCGGGCCGACACCUAUAUGGCAAAUUCAGAAAGUGGAAUAUCUCAGCAACCAUAGGGUUUACAGUCAUGAAACUUCACACACUAGUAGCUGAUAACAAUACAAAUCAGUGGCUAAAAGGAUAUUUCCAAGGCGAUGAAUUCCAUAUGUCAGAAGGAAAUUUAGAAUCGUACAACCAGUCAGCAGCUACCCAUAAACCAGACCAACCUAUUAAGUCGAGCGGGCAGAAGCUGUGAUUCCCAGUGUAACACCGCAGAAUGACGGCUAGUUUUCGGAUUACAUUUCUGUGCGGAAGGAUUAAAAAAACUACACCAGACUGGUGGCCAUGACAGAUGUCAGUGGGAAAUUUAAACAUGGACUAGAUACUUUGAUGUGUAGCAAAAAAGUUCAUCGUUGAUGGUGGUGUUUUUCUGUGAUAUAUUGACUGGGAUAGUAUUACUCUUCAGAAAUACAGAGCUGUCAAUGCUGCAA